AGUGAACGCUGGCGGUAGGCCUAACACAUGCAAGUCGAACGGCAGCACAGUAAGAGCUUGCUCUUACGGGUGGCGAGUGGCGGACGGGUGAGGAAUACAUCGGAAUCUACUUUUUCGUGGGGGAUAACGUAGGGAAACUUACGCUAAUACCGCAUACGACCUACGGGUGAAAGCAGGGGAUCUUCGGACCUUGCGCGAUUGAAUGAGCCGAUGUCGGAUUAGCUAGUUGGCGGGGUAAAGGCCCACCAAGGCGACGAUCCGUAGCCGGUCUGAGAGGAUGGUCGGCCACACUGGAACUGAGACACGGUCCAGACGCCUACGGGAGGCAGCAGUGGGGAAUAUUGGACAAUGGGCGCAAGCCUGAUCCAGCCAUACCGCGUGGGUGAAGAAGGCCUUCGGGUUGUAAAGCCCUUUUGUUGGGAAAGAAAAGCAGCAGGUUAAUACCCCGCUGUUCUGACGGUACCCAAAGAAUAAGCACCGGCUAACUUCGUG
rnacentral:rRNA from 1 species